UGGAUGUCAACAGACCAAUGAAUGAAAAAAUUGACCUGGUCCAGUUGGUCAAAGUGGUUGAGGGACCUGUAGGCAGGCUGUACUCAGCAAGUGCAGUGACGCCCCACACCUCAGUGCCUCCCCCAGCUCCCUGUACACUCCUGUUUCAAUAAAGUUCUUUUGUGUUUCAAGCA